GACGAACGCUGGCGGCGUGCUUAACACAUGCAAGUCGAACGAAGUGGCGAACGGGUGAGUAACGCGUAAUCCACCUGCCCUUCAGAGGGGGACAACAGUAGGAAACGACUGCUAAUACAGCAUACUGAAGGAGGGGAUUGCGUCUGAUUAGCUGGUUGGAGGGGUAACGUCCCACCAAGGCGAUGAUCAGUAGCCGGGCUGAGAGGAUGAACGGCCACAUUGGGACUGGGACACGGCCCAGACUCCUACGGGAGGCAGCAGGGGGGAAACUUCCGCAAUGGAGGAAAGUCUGACGAAGCAACGCCGCGUGAGAGAUGACGGCCUUCGGGUUGUAAAGCUCUGUUAAUCGGGACGCGGUACCGGAAGAGAAAGCCACGGCUAACUACGUGCCAGCAGCCGCGGUAAUUC
rnacentral:rRNA from 1 species